UGUAGGAAAUAGUCCAAAGACAAACUAAUUGAAUGCAGUAAGGUCCAGUUUGUCCAAACUUAGUGACAAAACCUUUAUCAUGUGAAUACUAAGCCAUCAGUACAUCUACAACCCUCUAUCUUUAAAGCAUUUUAUAUGAUUCAGCCCAGCAUUGCUUCCAUGUGUGUGCAGUGUGUUCACCUUCAUGGCAAAGCGCUUCCCACAGCCAGCAUACGCACAGCUGAACGGCUUCUUGCCCUCGUGAUCUCCCAGAAUGUGGCUCUCCAAGUUAAAGCGGCGAGUAAACUUCUUGUCACAGCUUUUCCUCGGACACGACAGCUUCGUCUUCUCCCCAGUGUGGACGUGCAGCUCAUGUAGGCGCAAGAACCAGGCAUUGUUGAAGAGCUUUUUACACUCUGCACACUGAACCUUGACUGAACAAAGGAGGUCACGUCAACACAGUGACAAGGUUGUUGGAUACUGAUUACUCGGUCCUGAUAACACCUGGGUCUGAAUUCCCUGACCUCAGGCCUGCGGGGUUAGGAGGAUGAAGAAAGACAACCUCUGCAGGUUUAUCUCAACGUUAUUGUACACACAAGAGGAUUACAACAUACGUUAUGUGUACAGACCUGAUUCCUUCAGGAAAUCAGGGCUCCAAAUAUGAAGGUUUAUCCUACUUCAAGAUACUUCCAACUUUAACUAAUGUGCCCACAGACAUUAAAUAAAGUCCUUGAACCAAUUCACAA